rnacentral:lncRNA from 1 species
CUUGAAUCACCAAGUGAUUAUUUAAAUUUUCAAGAAAUCUUGCCUGAAGGGUUUCUAGAUCGAUCCGUUAAGAUAGGAAAGGUGAUUAAAUGGGCUCCGCAAGUGGAAAUCUUGGGGCACAAAGCUAUUGGAGGAUUUGUAUCACAUUGUGGAUGGAAUUCUACCUUAGAAAGUAUCUUGUCUGGUGUCCCAGUUGCGACAUGGCCAUUGUAUGGAGAGCAGCAAUUUAAUGCUUUUGAACUGGUGAUUGAGCUAGGGCUAGCAGUGGAGAUUAAAAUAGAUUCUAGAAGGGAUCUUUCUAAAGAUGGUAUAAUUGUGAGUUCUGAUGAUUUAAAAAGAGGAUUAAAGUUAGUAAUGGAGCUUGAUAACGAGACUAGAAAAAAGGUGAAAGAGAUGAGUCAACUCAGCAGGAAAGCUUUAAUGGAAGAUGGGUCGUCAUACUCUGCAUUGGCUCAUCUGAUUGAAGAUAUUAUGGGCAACUAAGUAGAGCAUUGUAAAUCUGAGUACCGAAAUUGUAAUAAGAUAUUAAAUAAAAUACAUGGUUAAGCCUUUUUAUGCGAUCCAUCACUUGUCUGCAUUGCAUUGCAUGGUUGAUAUAUACAUAUAAAUUAAUUCCAAAAUAUUUUUUACCAUCCAAUAAAAAAGUUUUAGUCUCUAUAAGAUUAAGUCAAAUACUAUAAUUUAUAUACAUUUCUUUAAAAACUUUAGGUGAGGAAUCAGAUUCAUUAUCUCAUUUAUAAAGUAAUUGAGAAGAAAAAAAAAUUAAAAUAACUAAUAAAAGUUCAAAUUACUUUAAAUAUAGUUGAGGAAUCAUCCAUUGGCAUUAAUUUGGUUUAGUUGUCGUGUUGAAGCUAAUAUAUGCAAGCUCUCAUCACAAGGGAAGUUCGUAAAAAUGUUCAAUAUUAAAGAUUAGGAUUUUCUAUCUGACGGUGUUGACUUUUUCUAAAUUAAUAAAAAUAAUUUUUCCAGUCAUUCGGGCUUUUAGCUCAAAAUUCUAGUUUGGGCGGCUGGAAAUUUCAACUGGACAACUAAUAUUGAUCCGGUCUGUUUAAUUCUGACCUAGCACUCCUUUUACAUAUAUAAUUUCUUAUAAGCAUACGCAAGGUUUUUUUACGCAGAGCAAACACCAUUAUAUAUGCUGAUGACACUAUAUAUAUUACCAACAUUUUUUACGGUUUGUUUUUGACGCAGCAAAAAACAGUAAAUGAAUAAUACCAACGUCAAUAUUCCGUAAAUAAUUUACAACAAGAGAAACUCUAAACUCAAGGUUUUUUAUUCAAUAAUCAAUAGGUACCCUGGCUAGAGGCUUUACAAUGGUAUUUAAAGCAAAACCCUAACCUAACCCAUGACAGAUAAGGAAACAACACAAAACAUUAAAUUUACCAUAAAUAGAAAAUUUGAGAUAAAUACAGAAUAUGAAAGGCCUAUAAAUCCUGAGCAAGCAGGAAUUGACGGAAGUCAAUUCGGACUCGAAAAUCAAGAGUUAUGGCUAAAACGAAACUUUUCUAAAAUGGCAAAAAUGACGAUUUCGGGGUCGAAACGAUGGAAUUUGGCCAAAAACUGGUGAACAAUAGGGGCAUAGCCCUGACUUCUUUCGCAAACGGCGAAACACAUUGACCUGGUGAGUUUCGUGACAUUCCGACUUUGACGCCCCGGCUGCCGAAAUUCAGUUGCCUUUGAAUUUCGGGUGAUCUCUCUUGAGCAUGUAUGCCUCCGCUACUUGUUCUACAUUAGUUUUCUAUUAGAUUAUGUCAUUCAUAUAAUUUGAAUUACUGAAUUUGGUUGACUCAUCCAAUUUGCAUAUUUGCUUUUGUUCUGUUUUUUAAUUAAUUUUACUUUUAAUUUCAUUAUUCUAUGCUAGAUUUGUUUGGAGUUGGACUUUGAUAUUUUUUUGCUUUAUGAUGACAUAUCUUGAUCUUAUGACUUAGUUUAUAUAUUUGACAUGCUCACUUAGAUCGGCUCACAACGUUUUUCUUCUUUUUUUUUUCUUUCUUCUUCUUUUUUUUCUUUUUAAUUGGAUAGAAUCUUAGUUUAUAUCAUCUUUUUUUAUUUUAGCAACUUUUUUUUCAAGUUCUCAUAAUUUGUUUUUUGUUUAAAAUGGUUCAUUUAUUAUUUUAUUAUCUAAUUAAAUUAUACCAAUUUCUUUCUUGAUGUGAAACCACAAAUCUAGCAGACAUUGAAAAUCAAGAAAAUUAAUACAUCUCAAAUUUUCAAAUACUUCUCAAAUAAUAUAGUAAAUUAAAUCUUCUUAAAACAUAAUUAAUUUGGUAUUGUUUCGUCACAAUAUAAUUUUAGUUGAUCCUUGUUGAGAAACAGAAUUCCCUGAGAAAUUGUGUGUACCCAAAUUACUUGAGAAAAUAGCUGAUAGACUCUGCGUCUCUUUUUCAAUUUUGGUUUUUUAGUUUUUAUUUUCACAAAAAUUAAAAAAAUAUUUAUUUUAGCAACUCAGAAAACUAUAAAAUAUAUUCAUAGUGUUUCUAUAUGGAGAAAAAUGACAAAGUAAUUAUUGUGUUCAAAUUAACUUGUUUUUCAGGACAUUUUUUAUAUUUUAACAUCAAAAUAUAUUUGUUUCUCAUCUUAAAUAUUUCAUUCAUUUUUCAUUUAUUUAUUAUUGUUUUGAGAGAAAAGUUUUUAAUAUUAUAUUUAUCUCGAUCAAGAUCAGAAUACCUCUUAUACUAACACCUCUAAAACAGAACCUAAGAAAGGACCGAGAAAACCCAAUUAUACUCCAUUCUCAUAAUAAAAGAAAAUUACCAUAAAUUUUAUCCUCAAUAAUAAAAAAAAUCUAUAUUACAACUCUCUUGCUUAAAUAAUGCAAAUAAAAUCUUAAAUUAACUAGGAAAUUAUGACCAAUCCCAGUAGUAUAUUUAAUUUGGAGGCCUUAAUUUGUAGAUUCAAUGUUUGUGAAUAUAUUAGAAUAUAAAACUUAAUUAUAAGAUGAAUUUAAACUUUAGAUUUGAAAAAAAAAAAUCUAAAGUUUUUAAACAUGUUAUGAGAUCUCUGCUAGCCCUAUUCUCUACAAAAUUAGUUAUUAUAAUCAAAUGAAAUUGUUUACAUUUCAAAUUAAGUUGAGAAGAUGUGGUUUUUUUAGAUAUUUUUAAAAUAGUUUCAUUAAUUUCCUUAUUAUUUCAAGAUUCCUUUUCUUUUCUGACUAUUUAAACAUCUUUAUUAAGAACAAAUUUCAUAUUAAUAAUUUAUAAAACAUAAUGUUUUUACAAUUUAGAAUUGUAACAUAAAAUCUUAAAAAUCUUAUUUUUGUACAUCAAUUAGAUAAUGAAAACAAAAUACGGUUAAUAGUGGCAGAAUUUGUGCCACACCCACAAAGCCAGUCAAUGCCGGCAAAGCCACGCAAUAGUUCACUUUCCAACAAGAUCAGUUCCAAUAUUAUAUGGUCCAGACAAAAAAACCUUAAAAAAUUAUCUCUUUUCUGCUUUUCUUCUAUAUAGUUUAUGCCAACACCAUUCCAUAUUUGAUCUGUCUGUGUAGGACAACGUGCUUGCAAAAUCUUUGCAACCAAAAUGAAGAUGGCGGAGCUGGUGUUCAUCCCAUUUCCAGCCAUGGGCCAUGUGGUACCAGCAGUGCAAACAGCUAAACUUCUUGUUGAAUUUGACAAUCGAGUUUCCACCACUGUUCUUCUAAUGAAACCAGCUAUCGACUCGAGUACCAUCAAGUAUACCGAGUCACUUGCUGCAUCAACUUUGCCUGACCGUAUGCGAUUCAUUGAAUUGCCUUCUCUUGACGAACUCAGAUCAAGAAAAGGUGUUUGGCUAGAUUCUUUGAUAGAGGGUCAAAAACCCCAUGUCAAAGAAUUUGUUUCGAAGAUCGUUUCAAAGUCCGAGCUGAGCCCUGACUCGCCUCGACUUGCUGGAUUUGUUUUUGAUGCGUUUUGCACGGGAAUGAAAGAUUUGGCUGGUGAAUUUGGUGUUCCCUGGUACGUUUUCUCUUCCUCAGGAGCAGCUUUUCUUGGUUGCUUGUUAUAUUUACAGGUUCUUCAUGGUGAGCAGAACGUGGACAUAACUGAGUUCAAGAACUCAGAUGCUAUGUUAGAAAUUCCGAGUUUUGUUAACCCAAUGGCUGCUAGGCUUCUGCCAUCUAUGACGUUUAGGAAAGAUUCGGUCCCUGUUUUGGUUGGCGUUGCUAGAGGGUUAAGGGAAGCUAGUGGUAUUGUUGUAAAUACAUUUAUAGAGUUGGAAUCGCAUGCAGUUAACUCCUUUUCUAAAAUUGGCAUCCCACCAUUGUAUCCAGUGGGACCCAUUGUGAACGUGGGGUCAGAUAAAAGCAAUGACAAUAGAGAAAUUAUGGAAUGGCUUGAUGAUCAACCUCCAUCAUCAGUAGUGUUCUUGUGCUUUGGAAGCUUGGGAAGUUUUUGUGUGGAUCAGGUGAAACAGAUUGCAUAUGCUCUCGAACACAGUGGGAAAAUCUUUUUAUGGGUUCUACAAAAUCCUUCAAAAGGAAAGAUGGAAUCCGCAAGUAGUAAUUUUCAAGAAACUUUACCCGAAGGAUUUUUAGAUCGAACAACUGAGCUCGGAAAGGUGAUUGGUUGGGCUCCGCAGGCAGAAAUACUCGCCCACCGAGCUAUCGGAGGGUUUGUUUCGCACUGCGGAUGGAAUUCUAUACUAGAAAGUAUAUAUUUUGGUGUUCCAAUUGCUGCAUGGCCGAUAUACGCAGAACAGCAAUUUAAUGCUUUUCAAUUAGUGACUGAGUUGGGAUUAGGAGGAGAGAUUAAGAUAGAUUACAUAGAGGGUUCUAACAGUGACGGCCAUGAAAUCGUGAGUGCUGACACUAUAAAGAAAGGAAUAGAGGGUUUAAUGGAGGACGAUAAUGAAAUAAGAAAACGGGUGAAAAAUAUGAGUCAAGUAAGCAAGCAAGCCUUGACUGCUGGUGGAUCUUCACACUCUUCACUGGGUCGUCUAAUUGCAGAUGUUAUGAGCAACAUUCCAUGAAGUAAUUGAUUUUCCUAGAGGAAAUUAUUUAUAGGUUUAAGCUUUUAUUUGGAGCAGCUUAAUUAAUUGAGGAGCCUUCAGCAUGAGGAGGGUUUUCAAUUUUGCAUUAUUGUAAACUUAAAUUAUUAAGUUUGAUAGAUGUAGUGGAGUCAUGAGACAUUUUACAAUUAAGAUGUUGGCUCACAGCUUUAUAAUUAGUUUUCCUUCCACUUCUAUAUUAAGUGAAUAUAUAACUGUAAUUAUAUUCAUAACAAUAAUUAUAUAGUAAGAAAAACAAAAUGCACAUUUAGUUAAUACAUAAUUUAAUUAUUCAAUUUAUGUUAUCAAUAUUUUUAAAAAAAUCAUCAUUCAAUCAAAGUUUAUGUUAUUUUUUUUUAAUUUAGUUAUCAUUCUUUUCAUUUUUUUUCCUUUUGAUUUACCCCUCCAAUUUAAUUUUUUAAAUGCCAUCAAAUUUAUUUUUUAUUUCGGUUUUCACCUUUAUUUUUUUAUUAAAAAUUUUAUGUGGUUGAUUUUUUUUAUAGUUACAUUCUUCCUUUUUUGAUUUAUUUAAAAUUAAACUUCAUGGUUUUUUUUAUUUGUCAUGCUUCUUAUUUAAUGACACGGGUCAAAACUUUUAAAUGUUAAUACAAUUAGUAAUAAAACAAUAUAUCAAAAUAGUCUAUAUACUCAAGCUUUUUUAUUUUUUGAGAAAAAAUAUUACGAUCCACUACGGAGCACAAAUCAAGUCAAAUUUUUAGUUGCUCUCUAAUUAGUUUUUUUCACCUUUAAUUUUUUAGAUGUUUUGUUUAAUUUAUUUUAUAUAAAUUUAUCUCCUUCUUAUAAUUCAGGUCAUGGAUUUUGCAUAUGAUUUUUUAAUAUAAGUUUUUAUAGAGUUAUUUUGUUUGUGUUUGAUUUGUCAAGAUGUUACGCAAAUUCAUCUAGAAUUUUUUGGGGGGUUUAUACAAAUGAGUAUUUUUCAAAAUAAAAAAAUAUUUAUUUUCAAAUAAUAUUGUCGAUGUAUUUUGGCCUUGUAUAAUUUUUUUUUUGGGCAUGAGUCUAUUUAGUUAAUUUCAUUUGUGUUUAUCUUUUAAAUCAUAAGUUUUUUGGGUUAUGAAUUUAUCUUUUAUUGAUUUUAAUAAACAAGUAUAUUAAACAUAAUAAUGUGAAUAUCUUAUUUUGUGUAGUUGGAUAUCUUAAUUUACAUCCAUCUCUCAAUUUUAUUAAUUUUUCUUUUAUUUUUUUGUUAAUAAUUUUUUAUUUAUUUACAUAAAUAAUUAUUAAUGAGAUAUUUGCAUAGAUUUUUAAUUUUUAAUUUAAUUUUUUUAUGUUAAAAAACAUAUUAAAGUAGCCUCCAUGGCCAAUAUUUUAACAAAAAAACAAAAUCAUGACAUGUGGUAAGGCGGGCUCUAUUGGCUAUUUCUGUCCCAUUUGUUGAAACUUUAAAGCCUCGAAGAUGAUAUUUGAAACGAGAUCAGCCAUUCAUAUAUGCUAUCAUCAAUAAUUCAGUACUUUCAUUUUCUUGCAGACUAGUUGGCUAUAGUUAUACGUCCGGGAAUCAUUCAAACAAAGCAUGAACACUAGCUUAGCAACACCAAAUUUUAGCUAUGAAGAAAGCAGAGUUAGUGUUCAUCCCUUUACCUGCCAUGGGCCAUAUUAUAGCAGCAGUAGAGAUUGCCAAGCUUAUUGUUGAACGUGAUGAUCGAAUUUCCACAAGCGUCCUCAUAAUGAGGCCAACUCUUGACUCCACUACCACCAAAUACACUGAGUCACUCACUCCAUCAACUCUACCCAAUCGCAUGCGAGUCGUUUACUUGCCCACUCUUGAGCACACCGCUGUACAUAACACUGGUGCAAGCUGGAUGGCUUCUCUGGCUGAAGCUCAGAAAAACCAUGUCAAAGAAUUUGUUUCGAAGAUCAAGGCACAGUCAGAGUUGAGCCCAAAUGACUCUCCUCGACUUGCUGGGUUUGUUUUGGAUACUUUUGUUUUGGGAAUGGAUGCUUUGGCUGGAGAAUUUGGUGUUCCCUGGUAUGUUUUCUCGGCUUCAGGUGCAGCUUGUAUCGGCUUGAUGUUGUAUCUUCAGGCCCUUCAUGACGAGCAGAAAGCGGAUCUCUCUGAGUACAAAGACUCGGAUGCUGAGUUGGAAAUUCCAAGCUUGGUGAACAGGCUUCCUGCUAAGCUCCUGCCUUCUUUGGUGUUCAACAGAGAAUCUCUCCCUAUUUUUCUUGGUGCUGCAAGAAGGAUGAAGCACGCAAGGGGCAUUUUGAUAAAUACAUUCGAAGAGUUAGAAUCGCAUGCAAUAAACUCUCUUUCUAAGGGUGAAAUCCCUCCUGUAUAUCCGUUGGGACCAAUUGUGAGAUGUAAGGGAAACAGCUAUGAUGUAGGAUCAAGUCAAAUCAACGACUACAAGGAGAUAAUGCAAUGGCUUGAUGAUCAGCCUCCGUGCUCAGUAGUGUUUUUGUGCUUCGGGAGUUGGGGAAGUUUCAGCGUUGAUCAAGUGAAAGAGAUUGCAUAUGCAUUGGAGCAAUGUGGACAUCGAUUCUUGUGGUGUCUGCGUGAACGUCCAUGCACGGGUAAGAUUGAAUCACCAAGUGAUUAUGUAAAUUUUCAAGACAUCUUGCCUGAAGGGUUUCUAGAUCGAUCAGUUAAGUUAGGAAAGGUGAUUAAAUGGGCUCCGCAAGUGGAAAUCUUGGGGCACAAAGCUAUUGGAGGAUUUGUAUCACAUUGUGGAUGGAAUUCUACCUUAGAAAGUAUCUUGUCUGGUGUCCCAGUUGCGACAUGGCCAUUGUAUGGAGAGCAGCAAUUUAAUGCUUUUGAACUGGUGAUUGAGCUAGGGCUAGCAGUGGAGAUUAAAAUAGAUUAUGGAAUUGAUAUUUUG